rnacentral:rRNA from 1 species
AGAGUUUGAUUAUGGCUCAGGACAACGCUGGCGGCAUGCCUAACACAUGCAAGUCGAACGGGGGUAGCAAUACCCUAGUGGCGAACGGGUGAGUAACACAUAAGCAAUCUGCCCUUCACAGGGGGAUAACAGCGGGAAACUGCUGCUAAUACCGCAUAAGACCACAGUACCGCAUGGUACAGGGGUAAAAACGAAUCAGUGGUGAAGGAUGAGCUUAUGUCCCAUUAGCUAGUUGGUGAGAUAACAGCCCACCAAGGCGACGAUGGGUAGCCGACCUGAGAGGGUGAUCGGCCACACUGGAACUGAGACACGGUCCAGACUCCUACGGGAGGCAGCAGUGGGGAAUAUUGGGCAAUGGAGGAAAAACCUCUUACCCAGCAAUGCCGCGUGAGUGAAGAAGGUCUUCGGAUUGUAAAGCUCUUUGAUUGGGGACGAAGAAAGUGACGGUACCCAAAGAACAAGCCCCGGCUAACUACGUGCCAGCCGCUGC